CAGGUAUACCUUGAAGUCUCCAAUCCAAGCUCGACUCACUGAUGCCUAGGCUGGUAUGAAGUACCUGGAUCUCUACAAAAAGAUGUGCAAAAGCGUAGUAUGAGUAUACCACAACGGUACCCAGUAAGUAUCAAGCCUAACCUCGGUAGAGUAGUGAUAAGGUCAGGUCAAGACACCUACUGAAAUAAAUAAAGAAACUGAACAAGUAUAGUGCAGUAUAAUAAUGAAAAUAAUGGAAAUGAUGUAAUGAAGAAAUAUAACAAAAAUAGCUACACUGAAACUAAGACAAUUAAGACUGCACGGAAGAAAACACAUAAUAAGAAUGCCAAGGAAACGAUGCAAAAAAAAACACAAGUAAUGUAAAUGAAAGGUAUCAACAAGAAUCACUACCGAGGUACCGCCUCGUAGUCUCAUUUCACAAAUCAAAUCACAAUAUUUUCAUAUACCACCGCGGGAGCCUUGCAUUUAGUUUUGAAAAUCAUUUUUCCGAAAUAGCUUCCCGCGUUUUAGCCCACCUUAUCACACCGCGUGGUUUCAAGUAGUUUCCCUACUAGCAACACGUGUAUCAAGCCCACCUUAUCUCAUCGCAUGCGUAUCAACCUCUAUCCUUAUACCACCGCAUGCGUAUCAAUAUCACAACAUAUCACAAAUCGCACAUCAAGCCCAAAACCACAACUUGACAAAGAAGUCAACAACAAUAGUAUUUCCACAAUCAAUAGCCCAUGGCUCAACCACAAUAUGUACAAGAGUCUCAACAAUAGUAAUCGAAAGUAAAUAUCUCAACAAGAAUGGUAUUCAAUAAUUUACAAUUUUGCCUCUCACGACCUUUAUAACUUUAACAACAUAAUUCAACAAAUAAGAUAUUCCAAGAAAUAACAACUUCAAGUAAGGGAACUCAAUGGUUAAAUAAUUAACGAGGAAAUGAGAGAACAAUAAAUUCAACUGAGCAUGUAAAGGCAAUUAAUAAGUAAGAGAUGAGACAAGUAUUUACAGUGUCAAGUAAAUCACGUAAGGAUAAUCUAACGAUGAUGAAGAUAACAUGUUAUGACAAUUCAAUUAAAGGCAUGAAAAGAAUCUACAUAAUUUUAACCGGUCAAUUACUAUAUUUAGCCCGUGUACCCACUCGUCACCUUGCGUACACGACCUUCACGCACCACAAUUAACACAAAACAACAUCAAUCCUAAGGGGUCAUUUCCCCACACAAUGUUAAGCAAGACAUUUAUCUCAAAACACGCUAACUCAAUCUACUAGUAACACUUUUUCGAAAUUAUCCAACUCUGAACAACUCGAAUCCCAAUCAAUUCCUUGAAAAUCCCUCUCAAAAUCGCCACAAACCGAGGUCUCUAUGUCAAAAGAUGAAGAAUGAAGUAAAAACCUCAUUUUUGAAAUUAAGUAUUGCUGCCCAAUUAUACUCUUUCACGAUCGCGGACAAACACUCGCGAUCGCGGAGAACAAAAACCUCCUUCGUGAUCGCGUGAGCACAAUCGCGAACGCGGUGACCAGCUUUCGCAGCUUAUGCGAUUGCGUUCCAUGCCAUGCGAAUGCGAAGAACAUUGCAUGCCUCCCCCACUGCCUCACCUUCCUUAUAUGCGAACGCAAUCCACCUCACGCGUUCGCGAUGCCCAAGUUCAUCAACCUUCACGAUCGCACCCCUAACUUCGCCAAUGCAAAGAGUAAAAUCACGGCAGUCCCUAAGGACUCUACGCGAUUACGGAAGAAUCUUCGCGAACGCUAGAAGGAAAUUAGAACAGGAAAAACCAGCAGUCAUCUGCCAAGAACAAAUGGUCUGAACGCAAUCCGAAAUACGCCCGGGGCCCCUGGAACCCCGUCCGAACAUACCAACAAGUCCUAAAAUAUGUUAUGAACUCGCUCGAAGCCUCAAAUCACACCAAACAAUACUAAAACCACAAUCGCACAUCGAUUCAAGUCUAAUGAACUUAUGAACUUCUAACUUCUAAAACUAAUACUGAAACAUACCAAACCAACUCCAAUUGAUCUCAAAUUUUGCACACAAGUCAUAAUUGACACAACGGACCUAUUUUAAUUUUCAAAACCAAAACUCGGACCCGAUAUCAAUAAAGUCAACUCCCGGUGAAACUUCUCAACCUUCUAAACCUUCAACUUUUUAACUUUUGCCAAUUCAAGGCGAAACGACCUGCGGACCUCCAAAUCAAUAUCAGGAUACGCUUCUAACUCCAAAAUCACCAUACAGAGCUAUCGGGACCAUCAAAACUCUAUUUUGAAGUCGUCUACACAAAAGUCAAACUCCGGUUAACUCUUUCAACUUAAGCCUCAACUUAGGGACUAAGUGUCCCAUUUCACUACGAAACUUACCCGAAAUCAAAACCAACCAUUCCAGCAAGUCACAUAACCAUAAUAUAUCAUAGAUGAGGUAAUAAAUAUGGGAACGAGGUUAAAAUACUCAAAAUGAUCGGUCGGAUCGUUACAGAUAAUAAGAAAGAAUAAAAAAAUCUAUUACAGAAGAAGUAAAUGAAGAGGAAUUCUUAUUGAGUAGCUUAUUGUAGAUCUUGAAUUAUCUAAUGACAAAUAUGACAAUUUGCAUAUAUAAUAGCAGUGAGAAUCAGAGAGAAGUAGAUGGGAUAUAAAAUUGGAGAAGCGGGGUUUAUAUAGUAUUGAAUACCAUAAUUGUCCCCUAAUAUCACGCCUACCUGCUACCAUCCUUACUAACUCUUCAUAUACAUUACGCCUAAAGAAUUUGUGGUGGUUCUGUAGUUAAUGCCAAAUCUCGAUUUCUCUGGAUUUACCGAUCUUCCUGCUUUAUCCGAACGUGUGAGACUAGUUUGAAGAAUCUUCAUGUGAUGACUUUUUCUUGGUUUCGAUAAAAAUGAUCUUGGUACGAAUGAUCUCGCGUAUAUCCUUUAAGUGACCUUCUGGUUUAUCGCUUAUCUUCGUAAAGAUUUAUUGUGCAACGUCUGCCACGGUGUUGCGAGUUAAGUCGCCCACGUGGAGAGUCUACUUUUUAAAAAUACAUAUAGUCCUCUCACUUUUUAAAUAUUUGUUAAUGAAUAUUUAGAAGUGAUAAAUAUUUUUUGCGGGAAAAGAAAGCAUAUCUAACACUCUUAUCACGUAAUUACAGUGACGUAUUCCAAAAUUGAAGCGACAUGGCGUUGUUUUCAUUUAAUGCCCGAGACAUAUGCCGUAAUUUAAUUGGUUUUGACAUUAACAGUAUUUUCCAAGGCACUGACGGCUCUAUGACUUUGUAAAGAUAGGCCUAUGAUAACGGUUCCUCGAUGAUGAUUCUUCCUUCUUUAAGUACAAAACCUUUAUUUCUUCAUCUUCACUGUUUGAGCACUAUUUAUUUUUCUUUUCAAAAAUCUGCACUUUGCCUUCUUUACUCUUUUCCUUACAUCCCCUAUCCCUUCUUCACAAUCAUGAAUUCUCAAAAUGUCAAUCUACCAUCAGUUGAAGCCCCAAUUUCACCAAAUUUCAAAAAUUCCAUACUGUGCACAAUCAUUGUUGAUGAACAUCUAGAAGCUGAAACUCCUUUAAUAUUAAGAAGAGGUAGGAGAAUUCAGAAGCCUAGGUCUGAAGGAGGCAGCGAGGUUUCCGCCACUGCAAAGCCUCCUUUCAAAGAGAAAAAAGAGUGAUAAACAAGAGUUUGUUUUCGAGCUUACUGUUUCAAAAAUAUUUCCUAAAUAGUUUAAUUUUAAAGCGGACUGUACCCAGUGGAUUAAGACGAUGGAUCAAAAAGGUAACCGAAACAUACCUAUAAAUAACUAGUGUUCUCUCAUGCAGCUAGAAUAUCCUCCCACUGUCCAAAAAGAAUAUCAUUGGAAAGAUGACCUUAACAUUCAAACUGCUCAAGAUGAGCGGAUCACCAGCUAUCGGGAAGGUUUUCCAUUUGUUUAUACGUACCCGCUUACCUAUGGAUUCGGGCCUCCAAUUGAUUUCGUGAUUGAAGCAUUCUACCAGCAUUUCAACAUCUACCUAGCUCAAAUAUGUAUGAUCGUUUGGAGGCUUAUGGUGUGUCUCCGUUUUCUAUCUAAUUUGGUUUUGUUGGACUUCACUCUUUGCACCUCCUUUAUCUUUAUUCUCCAAAACUCUUCUGAGUAGGAGUUUUCACUCUUGAUAAACGUGGAAAGAGAGUUCUUGUUGACCCCGAGCUGAUCACAAUCGAGGGUGAUAUGAGACAUUCGUAAUUGUACCUACUCAGGAUCUGGUGCAACCCAGUGAUCGUUCGUUCUCGGAGAAGUGGAAUUUCAACUUUAAGUUUUGUUGUUAUCUUCGGAAUCUUUUUUUCCUUUACUGUUUUAUAACAUUUUCC
rnacentral:lncRNA from 1 species